CAGAUGAACCGCACAAAUUCCCUUACACUGAAAUUUGGCUCAGUGUAUGCUCUUUACAAUUUCCAGUUUAUUGAAUACAAUCUAAAUUGGUGGCAGUAAUUGUCUCAGUGCUGACUGCUUAGGACUACAAAUCCCAGAAUCCUUAGCCAGUGUGUCGGCAAACUAAUGGUAAAAUUUUCAAUGGAACGUUACAUACCAUAAUGCCAGAGACCCAAAGCAAUGUUUAUCAGGACUGCAAUUCCCACAAUACUUUGCUCCCCAUACAGGAAGAUGUUAUCCAUAUCUUAUAGUUGGGUAGAACAGAAAAGCUUAGAGUUGGCAAGAAAAC